rnacentral:rRNA from 1 species
AGUCGACGAGACCUUCGGGUCUAGUGGCGCACGGGUGCGUAACGCGUGGGAAUCUGCCCUUGGGUUCGGAAUAACAGUGAGAAAUUACUGCUAAUACCGAAUGAUGACGUAAGUCCAAAGAUUUAUCGCCCAGGGACGAGCCCGCGUAGGAUUAGCUAGUUGGUGAGGUAAAAGCUCACCAAGGCGACGAUCCUUAGCUGGUCUGAGAGGAUGAUCAGCCACACUGGGACUGAGACACGGCCCAGACUCCUACGGGAGGCAGCAGUGGGGAAUAUUGGACAAUGGGCGAAAGCCUGAUCCAGCAAUGCCGCGUGAGUGAUGAAGGCCUUAGGGUUGUAAAGCUCUUUUACCCGGGAUGAUAAUGACAGUACCGGGAGAAUAAGCUCCGGCUAACUCCGUGCCAGCAGCCGCGGUAAUACGGAGGGAGCUAGCGUUAUUCGGAAUUACUGGGCGUAAAGCGCACGUAGGCGGCUUUGUAAGUUAGAGGUGAAAGCCUGGAGCUCAACUCCAGAACUGCCUUUAAGACUGCAUCGCUUGAAUCCAGGAGAGGUGAGUGGAAUUCCGAGUGUAGAGGUGAAAUUCGUAGAUAUUCGGAAGAACACCAGUGGCGAAGGCGGCUCACUGGACUGGUAUUGACGCUGAGGUGCGAAAGCGUGGGGAGCAAAUAGGAUUAGAUACCCUGGUAGUCCACGCCGU